GACAGAGGGUGCAAGCGUUACUCGGAAUUACUGGGCGUAAAGCGUGCGUAGGUGGUUUGUUAAGUCUGUUGUGAAAGCCCCGGGCUCAACCUGGGAAUGGCAAUGGAUACUGGCAAGCUAGAGUGCGGUAGAGGGUAGUGGAAUUCCCGGUGUAGCGGUGAAAUGCGCAGAUAUCAGGAAGAACACCCGUGGCGAAGGCGGCUCUCUGGGACGGUACUGACGCUGAGACGCGAAAGCGUGGGGAGCGAACAGG
rnacentral:rRNA from 1 species